ACAGUUGUUUCACUCCAAUCAAUCCCUUAGCUGUAGAUCGAAAAUAUUUUAAGACCGCAAAACGAAGAUAACUAUUGAGAGGAUGGAGAAAAAAGAUAAACCACGUUUUGCAUGCGCUUUGUCAUUGAAUUUCCCCUAUAAAUACCCCAUUUAUGCUAACACUAUAAACCACACCAACAAAUAUGCAUAUAUCAUCUCUUUAUUGCAAUUAAUUACAACAAUGAGUUUUUGUCAAGGAAAGGAUUCAUGGCCGGAACUAGUGGGGGUUUCCGGCGAAGAGGCUGUGAAGGUGAUCGAGAAAGAGAACCCGUUCGUGAAUGGCAUCAUUGUGCCUCCAACACAAUCCUUCAUCCCUUCGGAUUAUAGGUGCGGCCGUGUGUGGGUUUUCGUUGAC